CGGAAGGAAGACGGAGCCCCUGUGCCCCUGGAGGCAUCUCUCAGUCAGCCCAACCCCGCUGAACCGAAUAGCCUUGAAAAGAUGGAAGACUCAGGGCAGAAACUGAAGGGGCUUCUGGAAGAACUUGCUUUCGAAGGAAGGCUGGAAGAUCAGGCUUUUGAAACUUUUUUCUGCAUCCAGUUAUGAUGCAGAUUCAGUAAGAAGAAAUCACCAAGUCCAGCUGGGGGACCAACAUUCCACUACUGAGGAGCUGAUGGGGAGGGGGCUGGGAGGGAAGAGGCAGCCUGUGAGAUGAGAGAUGGGAGAGAACCAAGAGGCUAGGACUGGAAAGGGGCAAAAGAGCCACAGAAGGAAGGGUUUGGACCCUUAAAA